UACGUAGGUGGCAAGCGUUGUUCGGAUUCACUGGGCAUAAAGGGCGCGUAGGCGGUUCCGAAAGUGGCAUGUGAAAUCCCCCGGCUCAACCGGGGAAGUGCGUGCCAAACUUCGGUGCUAGAGGGCGGUAGGGGGGACUGGAACUCUCGGUGGAGCGGUGAAAUGCGUAGAUAUCGAGAGGAACACCGGUGGCGAAGGCGAGUCCCUGGUCCGCUUCUGACGCUGAGGCGCGAAAGCGUGGGUAGCAAACAGG
rnacentral:rRNA from 1 species